rnacentral:rRNA from 1 species
UACGUAGGGUGCGAGCGUUAAUCGGAAUUACUGGGCGUAAAGGGUGCGCAGGCGGAUAUGUAAGUUAGAUGUGAAAUCCCCCGGGCUUAACCUGGGAAUGGCAUUUAAGACUGCAUGUCUAGAGUUUGUCAGAGGGGGGGUAGAAUUCCAAGUGUAGCAGUGAAAUGCGUAGAGAUUUGGAGGAAUACCGGUGGCGAAGGCGACCCCCUGGGAUAAAACUGACGCUCAGGCACGAAAGCGUGGGUAGCAAACAGG